UAUAGAGGCGUGAUCAGUGUGAGCACUUUGGGCAAGUUCCUUGGAAGAGGACAGCAUGGAGGGUGAUACUCCCGUUCAUCCCAAAGUUGCUUAUGCGUACGAUCCGUUUUCUUUGAGUCGCGUUGUUUGAGAAUGCAGCGCAAAGUAGGUGGUAAAUUCCAUCUAAAGCUAAAUAUUGGUGCGAGACCGAUAGCAAACAAGUACCGUGAGGGAAAGAUGAAAAGAACUUUGAAAAUAGAGUUAAAGAGUACCUGAAACUGCUGAAAGGUAACCAAAUCGUUUCCAGUGUCUAUAAUCCGUGGUAUAUUUCAUCGACGAGCGUGUUCGUGUGUGUGCUGUUGCAGUUUCCUUUUGGUUACGCUCGGCGUGUAUGCUGUUUAUGCUUGUUGGUGCCCUGUGCUGCGGUGGGACGUCAAGGUCAAUUCGUAUGCUGCGAGAAAUGACUAUGGCAAGCCCUGCAACUGCUUUACCUUGCUAAACUGGGCAGAACUUUGUGCCUGGUUCCUCAGAUUGUAUACACGUUCACAAUCCCACACCUUUGGGGUCGCGCAUUACUUUCAUUUCCUGUCGCAUUCAACAGGCUCCAUCCUUUACG
rnacentral:rRNA from 1 species